rnacentral:rRNA from 1 species
GACGAACGCUGGCGGCGUGCCUAAUACAUGCAAGUUGAGCGCUGAAGGUUGGUACUUGUACCGACUGGAUGAGCAGCGAACGGGUGAGUAACGCGUGGGGAAUCUGCCUUUGAGCGGGGGACAACAUUUGGAAACGAAUGCUAAUACCGCAUAAAAACUUUAAACACAAGUUUUAAGUUUGAAAGAUGCAAUUGCAUCACUCAAAGAUGAUCCCGCGUUGUAUUAGCUAGUUGGUGAGGUAAAGGCUCACCAAGGCGAUGAUACAUAGCCGACCUGAGAGGGGGAUCGGCCACAUUGGGACUGAGACACGGCCCAAACUCCUACGGGAGGCGACAGAAGGGAAUCUUCGGAAAUGGACGAAAGUCGGACCGAGCAACCCCGGGUGGGGGAAAAAGGUUUUCGGAUCGUAAAACUCUGUUGGUAGAGAAAAACGUGGGGGGGAGGGGAAAGCCCAUAAAGGGACGGUAACUCCCCAAAAAGGAACGGCAAACUACGG